UACGUAGGGUGCAAGCGUUGUUCGGAUUUACUGGGCGUAAAGCGCACGUAGGCGGAUUGUUAAGUCAGGGGUGAAAUCCCGGAGCUCAACUCCGGAACUGCCUUUGAUACUGGCAAUCUUGAGGCUGGAAGAGGUUAGUGGAAUUCCCAGUGUAGAGGUGAAAUUCGUAGAUAUUGGGAAGAACACCAGUGGCGAAGGCGGCUAACUGGUCCAGAUCUGACGCUGAGGUGCGAAAGCGUGGGGAGCAAACAGG
rnacentral:rRNA from 1 species